AACGCGAAGAACCUUACCUGGGCUUGACAUGGUGCUGCAAGCGCACGGAAACGUGUGACCUUCGAGGGUGCACCACAGAUGCUGCAUGGCUGUCGUCAGCUCGUGAGAUGUUGGGUUAAGUCCCGCAACGAGCGCAACCCCUGCCUUUAGUUGCCACCAGAUUAUGCUGAGCACUCUAAAGGGACUGCCGGUGAAAAACCGGAGGAAGGUGGGGAUGACGUCAAGUCCUCAUGGCCUUUAUGUCCAGGGCUACACACGUACUACAAUGGGCGGCACAAUGAGUCGCAAACCCGCGAGGGGGAGCCAAUCUCAAAAAACCGCUCUCAGUUCGGAUUGCAGUCUGCAACUCGACUGCAUGAAGCCGGAAUCGCUAGUAAUCGCUGAUCAGCAAGCAGCGGUGAAUACGUUCCCGGGCCUUGUACACACCG
rnacentral:rRNA from 1 species